AUCCCAGUAGUACAAUGAAUAGCACGUUUGACUUCUAAUAUAAAGGUCGUUGGUUUGAAUCCCACCUGGGAUG